rnacentral:lncRNA from 1 species
GCGAUAUCAGAAACUGAAUGCCGGGAAGAGUCUAUGGUUUAUUUAAAAUGAAAUGGGGCGUCGAUUGACGUUUGAUUUCCUGUCAUGGAAGUUCACGUCGGUGCCCUUCUAGCCGACGUCUAAGUCCCUCGAGUUUUGUGAACAUAAUCAAUUACAGGCACAUAGACGUCGCUUGCCAUCAUUACCGACGUCUACGUUGAAGAAUUUUUUUUCUUCC